CAGAAUAGAAUUCUGGGCGGAAGAAGAAGUGAGGUCAGACUCUGCUCUGCUUCUGGAGAGACACCAUGCUCCACUCUCCCAGGAUGGACGGAGGAUAGAAUCUUCCCGAUAUCUUCAGAAUAUGGCAUUUAAAUUAUUAAUUUAAGACUUCAUGACAGUGAGAUACAUCUGCUUCUGGCAGCACUAAUUACUCCAAGAGGAAGAUGGACAUUGAAGAGGCACAUUACGGAGUUUGCUAGCCAUUUGGGCAAGAAACUGCUCUUGCCUGGACUGCUUCAUAAACUGGACAUACAGGACCUGGAGAGAAAUGACUUCUUGCCUAAAGGGACACCAGACAUUCCCAUGCCACAGACACGGGAUAAAAGCAAAGAGACCAACUAUGCCAGGAUGUGACCAGCACACAGCCUUCUCUCACCUCUCCCCCUCAAAGACGAUGCCCACAAUUAACUGGAAAGCAGUCUUAAAAAUUCACCGCCCCAAUUCCUUCAAACUGUGAUGUCUAAUCUCCUGUUUUUAUUAUAAGGAAGACCUGGAAAUGUUGUGGUUUCCUGUCUCUGGGAGACAAGCCAUGCCCACUCCCACUACCAUCUUGUUCUCUUCUCUUUCUGUUCUCACGGGGUGCACACGGGUUUCUGUCUCUCCUCUCAUUUUCUUUCUCUCCCUCUCUCCUGUAAUAAAUAUUUUAGCUUUAUGCCUA